GGUAAAAUGGCUGAAAAUAGGCAAUAAACUGUAAAUUUAUUUAUGAAUUUAGAUUCUUUUACCA
rnacentral:tRNA from 1 species